rnacentral:rRNA from 1 species
CAGCAGCCACGGGAAUACGAGGGGGGCAAGCGUUGUUCGGAAUUAUUGGGCGUAAAGGGCGCGUAGGCGGUUUGACAAGUCUGAUGUGAAAUCUCUGGGCUCAACCCAGAGUCUGCAUCGGAAACUGUCGAGCUUGAGUAUGGGAGAGGUGAGUGGAAUUUCCGGUGUAGCGGUGAAAUGCGUAGAUAUCGGAAGGAACACCUGUGGCGAAAGCGGCUCACUGGACCAUUACUGACGCUGAGGCGCGAAAGCUAGGGGAGCAAACAGGAUUAGAUACCCCCGUAGUCCCUGUCUCUUAUAA